UCAACUGCAUAUAUAUACCAUGUCUGCUUUAUCCAUUCAUCCACUGAUGAACACUUAAAAUGUUUCCAUCUCUUGGCUAUUGUAAAUAAUUCAACUGCACUUUAAAGAAACCAGGUGUGGCGCAUUCACCAGCACACCUCUGCUUACAGGGACAUAUAUAGAUACACUAAGUUUCUAUGGUUUGAAGAGUCCGGACACGGCUUCACUGGGUCCUCUGCCCAGUGUCUUACGGGACUGCAAUCAACAUGCCACCUAGGCUGAAGUCUCAUUUGAAGAAUUAACUGGAGAAUCAUCUUCUUGCAAGCUCAUUCAGGUUGUUGGCAGAACUUAAUUCCUUCCAGUUGUAUAACUGAAGGCCUCAGCUUUUUGAUGGCUCUCCACUGGAGCCCACUUUCAGAUCCUAGAGGCCUCCCGCUUCCACUGGCCCUCUCACUGUAUGGCA
ensembl:lncRNA